rnacentral:misc_RNA from 1 species
GUAGGUGAACCUGCGGAAGGAUCAUUACAGAGUUCAUGCCCUCACGGGUAGAUCUCCCACCCUUGAAUAUUAUACCUUCGUUGCUUUGGCAGGCCGUGGAAACACCAGAGGCUCCGGCUGAUGCGUGCCUGCCAGAGGACCCAAACUCCUUAUUUGAUGUCGUCUGAGUACUAUAUAAUAGUUAAAACUUUCAACAACGGAUCUCUUGGUUCUG